CACCUUCCACAGUCAACACAGUUCAAACAUUAACUCUGAUCAUCAUGGAGUACUAUGGACUUUAUCUUCUUGUUGCUUCACUUCUAAGAGGUGUCUGUUCUCAAGAUCUCACUCCACUGGCUGAUGAAACCUUCACCAUAGAGGGCAGCUCUGUUACUGUGUCUUACCGAUUCUCUAAAGAACCAAGGGGAAGUGAUGAGUUUUACUGGUAUCGACAGUAUCCAGGAAAACCUCCAGAGUUUCUGAUCUAUCAUGUAGGAUCAGGAAAUAAACAAAAUGACCAAAUCCUUGGACUGAAUAUUCAGGUGAAGGGAGCUGAUAUAAGCCUGCUGAUCCCCUCUGCUGCAGCGACAGACUCUGCUGUGUACUACUGUGCUGUGAGGCCCACAGUGACAGGAAACACCAGAACUCUGUACAAGAACCUGCAAUACUCCACUACAUCCACUAGAGGGCCUCACACACUGUUCUUCCUCUAUGGUUUGUUAUGA